rnacentral:rRNA from 1 species
GUGGGGAAUAUUGGGCAAUGGGGGAAACCCUGACCCAGCAACGCCGCGUGAAGGAAGAAGGUUUUCGGAUCGUAAACUUCUAUCCUUGGUGAAGAUAAUGACGGUAGCCAAGAAGGAAGCCCCGGCUAACUACGUGCCAGCAGCCGCGGUAAUACGUAGGGGGCAAGCGUUGUCCGGAAUGAUUGGGCGUAAAGGGCGCGUAGGCGGCCUGGUAAGUCUGGAGUGAAAGUCCUGCUUUUAAGGUGGGAAUUGCUUUGGAUACUGUCGGGCUUGAGUGCAGGAGAGGUAAGCGGAAUUCCCGGUGUAGCGGUGAAAUGCGUAGAGAUCGGGAGGAACACCAGUGGCGAAGGCGGCCUGCUGGGCUUUAACUGACGCUGAGGCUCGAAAGUGUGGGGAGCAAACAGGAUUAGAAACCCCGGUAGUCC